rnacentral:rRNA from 1 species
CUGGCUCAGAACGAACGCUGGCGGCAGGCUUAACACAUGCAAGUCGAACGCCCCGCAAGGGGAGUGGCAGACGGGUGAGUAACGCGUGG